rnacentral:miRNA from 1 species
ACGACUGAAGGGUAAAUUUGUCUU